UAGGCUUCUACCACUUGUGCCCCAAGGCUGGGAGGAGACAUUCCUUCCUCCAGUGGCUCCCCUCUGACACCCCAGAGACCACAUUAUCAUCUCCCCGGAAGCCCUUGCAUCCCUCUGCCUCCAGCCACCUUCUAAGUGGCUCACCUCACAGGCAGAGCACAGGCACCGGCGUUUAUAGAGAAACAGUGUUAUGUAGUCAUUGCCAAACCGCCCCGCAGAGGAUGACAGACCUCCCACUUGCCGAGUUUUCACAAACCUUUAAAGGUUACAGUCUUCUACCCUGCAAUCAUCCCACAGACGCUGUCAGGAACAUCACCCUGGAAUGAAAGCCUGCAGCGAGCAAAGUUCACCCAGAAGAAGGCUGCCAAUCUCCAGAGCGCUGCCGCUGCUGUGAGAGUUGAGGCAGGAGCAGUCCUGAGACUGGAAAUUCACAAUCUGGAGCUCACAUUCAGGCUCGAGUAUCUCUCUCUGGGCCUCUCUGUGGUCGGCAGGGCUGGUCAGACCUUGGGUUUUGGUAAGAAGUGAGUGUGCUCUGCAGCUGAGUGACUCUGCGUGUCUCUGCACUUGCUGCCCAGGUACAGUGCUGCAGUUCUCCAGGCAGACUCCAGGCAGACUCCAUCAGUGCAUCCCUCUACUGAGCUCAGAACACAGUCUCUCAUUUUCCUGACCAGGUACAGCGCUGCAGUUCACCAGGCAGACUCCAGGCAGACUCCAUCAGUGCAUCCCUCUAAUGAGCUCAGAACAGCCUCUCAUUUUCCUGACCAGGUACAGCGCUGCAGUUCACCAGGCAGACACCAUCAGUGCAUCCCUCUACUGAGCUCAGAACACAGUCUCUCAUUUUCCUAACCAGGUACAGCGCUGCAGUUCACCAGGCAGACUCCAGGCAGACUCCAUCAGUGCAUCCCUCUAAUGAGCUCAGAACAGCCUCUCAUUUUCCUGACCAGGUACAGCGCUGCAGUUCUCAAGGCAGACACCAUCAGUGCAUCCCUCCUGGCCAUCCCUGGCACACACAGCUCAGUAGAAAAUGCCCAUUGUACACAACAUUAUCUGUGUGUGAAACCCAGAGUGGGAUUUCAAACUCCAAGAAAUACCUUUCACUAUUAACCUGGCAUCUCCGACUACUUUCUGAUUAGAACAAAGAAACUGCAAGAGAAGUCAUCAUAACGGCAAAAAGCAAAAAAAAAAAAAAAAAAAAAAAAAAGCAUGGUGUGUCUCCUGUCUUGGUGGUCACAUGGGCUAGGGGGCUCCAUCCAUGAAUGUAUGGAAAGUGCACAAGGAGAUAAAGGAGCUCCUGAUGGUAGAAGGAGCCAUGAAGAAAGGAGACAUGGAGGACAGCAGCAGUGAAUGGGAAGAUAGAAGAUCCUGGGUUUUGAGUGGUACAGAGGAGCAGCUGCCUCCCUGCCCUGGUCAUGUGUCUAGAGUGAGCAAUGAAGGAGACUUCGUACUUCAGCUGAGGUCUCUGUCGCUGUCUUAAUUUCCUGUCCACUGUGAGACAAACAUAUGAAAAUCCUUCCCAGUCUAAUUACAGUUGAAGGGAGUAUUACGGUAA